rnacentral:rRNA from 1 species
GACGAACGCUGGCGGCGUGCCUAAUACAUGCAAGUCGAACGAGAGCGACCGGUGCUUGCCCUGGUCAAUCUAGUGGCGAACGGGUGAGUAACACGUGGGUAACCUGCCCAUCAGAGGGGGAUAACAUCCGGAAACGGAUGCUAAAACCGCAUAGGUCUUCGAGCCGCAUGGCUUGAAGAGGAAAAGAGGCGCAAGCUUCUGCUGAUGGUUGGACCCGCGGUGCAUUAGCUAGUUGGUGAGGUAACGGCUCACCAAGGCCGUGAUGCAUAGCCGACCUGAGAGGGUGAUCGGCCACAUUGGGACUGAGACACGGCCCAAACUCCUACGGGAGGCAGCAGUAGGGAAUCUUCCGCAAUGGGCGCAAGUCUGACGGAGCAACGCCGCGUGAGUGAAGAAGGUUUUCGGAUCGUAAAACUCUGUUGUUAGAGAAGAACAAGUGCUAGAGUAACUGUUAGCGCCUUGACGGUAUCUAACCAGAAAGCCACGGCUAACUACGUG